rnacentral:rRNA from 1 species
GACGAACGCUGGCGGCGUGCUUAACACAUGCAAGUCGAACGGAAAGGCCCUGCUUUUGUGGGGUGCUCGAGUGGCGAACGGGUGAGUAACACGUGAGUAACCUGCCUUUGACUUUGGGAUAACUUCAGGAAACUGGGGCUAAUACCGGAUAGUAGCUCCUGCCGCAUGGUAUUUGUUGGAAAGUUUCGGUGGCUGGGGAUGGACUCGCGGCUUCUUUGUUUGAUGGUGUGGGUGUGGCGUACCAAGGCUUUGACGGGUAGCCGGACUGAGAGGGUGACAGGCCACAGAGGGACUGAGGUAGCGCCCAGACGGCUACGGGGGGAAGGGGUGGAGAAUAGUGCACAAUGGGCGGAAGGCGGAUGCAGCAACGCCGCGUGCGGGAGGACGGCCUUAGGGUUGUAAACCGCGUUCGCCUGUGACGAAGAGUGAGUGACGGUAAUGGACAAAGAAGCACCGGCUAACUACGUG